rnacentral:lncRNA from 1 species
CAGAUAUGCUUAGCCAUGCCAGCUUUACAUGGUCUGGGCACCUGAACUCAGGUCCUCACACAUGCACAGCAAGCACUUUAACCAUGAAGCUGUCUUCCCAGACCCCGGUUCUCCUUGUUAUAACACCAGCUCUCCCCCUAACAUCGUAAGGAAGCAUGAGGAGAAAGCGCCUGGAUGGUAUGGGAUUUCUUGGAAUAGCCAGCUUGAGAAUGAGACAGGAGCCUGUUCAGUUCCAAGGCAAAUCAGUUGCAUACCACGUGAUCAGGUGUGACCAGGACGGAUCUUGCUAGCAAGCAGGUUCUAUUCUUAGAGCUUUCCCGAGUGACACCAAGGACCAGUCGGGCACCCACCUCACACUCCCAUUAACCAACGUGAGCUGUGAAGACUCUUGACAAGGACACCAGCGUUUCUUUGCAGAAGAGAGGCGCUAGAUUGGAAAUGGAGUGUGCGGAUUGGUUUUGUGAUCCUCCCGAUUCUCAAGAGAAAAGCCGUGUCCCAUACUCCUCUUUGCUGGGGGCAAAAACCCAGGAAGGGUCCUUCUUCACGAUUUAUGCUCCUGAGGGUCACACAACGGAGAAG